CUCUCUUGGUGUUUUCUGGUGAGCUCAGCUGAAGGUGAGUGGAUAAAGCAUGAAUAGAUAUCACCAGCAGAUAUGGACAGACAUUGCUGUGACUUUGUCUUCGCAAGGUAAAAUGUGGAGACCCUGAAGUGUGCUGAAUUUCUGGACUGCUACAGUGGAUGGAUUUAGUCUUCAAUUCUACAUCUUGGAUGAGAGAAAGAUUUCUUUUCCAUUUUUGUGGAUGCCGGGACAGAACUUCAUGAAGUAAUACAGUGCAGACCAACCAAUUGUAUUAGGAUAAAUGGUUGUGAGACAAGUGGACAACUAGCAUUUUCUUUUUUCCUAUCAAAUUAGCUUUAUAAAUUGUAUCUCUGGGUUGUAGCCUCUCCAAGAUGUCACUUAUGACAAGAAGUCUCAUAUUUCUCCAUAUGUAUUUUCAGAAAAUAUUUCAGAGCAGAUUAGAAGACAAUAUGAAUGAAUUUAACCAGAACAUGGAGAACCUAUGUGAACUUCACAGCCAUUCAUAGAAUCAUUGAACCAUUUUGGCUGGAAAAGACCACGAAGAUCAUCUAGCUAUCAACCCAACAGCACCAUGUCCACUAAACUACUUCAUUCAAUGUAACACUACUCUUUUCCUGAAAACUUCCAGGGAUGGUGACUCCACCACCACCCUGGGCAGUCUACUUGAUAUGGCACUUUCACCAAACUUCUUUCAUUACCAAAGGUACUGAUUUUGUUGUGACUUGAUAAAGUUUUCCCUUUUAAUCAGAUAUUUUAUUCUUGGUUGCUUUCUCUUUGAAUUUUUCCCUCAGAGAGUUCAGCUGAAAGAAAGUUUCUCAGCCAUCUGGAUUGAUAAUCCUUAUCUUCAGUCCUUAAAUAAGCUUCUACAUUUUUCUUCCUAUAAACAUAAUCGGAAGUUUUGUCUAAAUAAAGAUGAAAGGCCCAUUCCAUCCAUACUUACAUUAUUUCCAUCAUGAAUACUCAUUGCUGUAUAUACACAUAGCCUCCUAAUGUUCAAAAUGUAGCUUCACAAACAGUGCUACAAGCCAGGGUAGUACUUAACAUAAAGAAUCUCAUGAUGUCCUUCAUUCUUGGCAAUUGAUAUCAUACCUGCUUCUGUGAGCUUUAAUCUCUGUGUUCAUACUUAAUCUGUUUGCUUGCCUAUGAAAAUAUUAGCUUUAUAAUAAUUUUCCUUCUCUAUAUCUUGUAUAUAGAUGGCUAAAUAAUUCUUGUCAGUCUUACAAGGGCUGAGUAUGUGUACUGUUGCUGAAUUAGAGACUCUCUUUUCAGUUAGAAGGUCAACACAACAUGGAUACUUCAAAAAUCAAGAAUGAAAUUUUAGAAGCAUUCCCCUUCUUGAUUAUUUGGAAUAUUAUGUGUUAAGAUUUAUUUGUUUAUUUUAACUACACAGCUGUUAAUGCUUUAAAAUUCUUCUUGAUUUGACAAUGGGAGAGUUGAAGCAACUAAUUGCCACAGCUGUGAACAGCCAUCUCCACUAGUUCUAGCAACUGUCAAAUGAACUUUCCCUGAGAGUUUCUAGAUUAAUUAAGGGAUUAUAUUAUACUUUUUUUGUAUUUCCAGGGUUGACUAUAGAAUAAUAUUCUGACUGGUUAAAAAAAAAAAAAAAAGAGAGAUUCUAACUAUGACUAUUCAAUUAUAAAUGAAUAUGGAGACACUAAUCUGAUGUAAUUCAGAAUAGCCUUAAUGCUUACUUACUCUGUCUACCUCAGACAAGAAUGGUGGAAGACUGCAGAUGAGUUAAGCUUCAUUAACCCUUGCAGAGUUGUAUAAUCUGGAGACUAGAAACCAUGAAUUUAUUGCUUCUGAGCUUUGUGGGAUAUUCUCCUAUUCAAUAAAGCCAGAAAAGUUCUGCAGAGCUCCUUUCUUCUAGAUGUGUGAAUUCAACAAAUUAAAAAAAUAACAAUCAUGGUUGACUGAAAAUUCUGAAACUGAAUUCUGGGAGCAUUGCUUAAAUGCUUCUUGAACUUCAGAAGUCUGGUAUCACAGCACUGGAGCCUGGUCUAGCACCCAGCCACCCUCUGGUGAAGAAGUUAUUCCUUACAUUCAAGAUGACCCUCUCCUGGCACACCUCCAUGCCAUUCCCUUGGGUCCUGUUGCUGUUACCAGAGAACACAGCUCACCUUGUGACGAAGCUGUAAGCUGCCAUAAUGC